CAGAAGGGGAUAAACCCCGGGAAGCUGGGGAUAAUACCCUAUAGACUAUGGAUGCUGGAAAUGCUCUGUAGCCGAAAGGUCCGCCGCUGUAGGAUGAGUCUGCGGCCGAUUAGGUUGUUGUUGGGGUAACGGCCCAACAAGCCUGUAAUCGGUACGGGUUGUGGGAGCAAGAGCCCGGAGAUGGAUUAUGAGACACGAAUCCAGGCCCUACGGGGCGCAGCAGGCGCGAAAACUUUGCAAUGCGGGAAACCGUGACAAGGGAACUCUGAGUGCCCGUAAAAUCGGGCUGUCCAUCGGUUUAAAAAACCGGUGAAGAAAGGGCCGGGCAAGACCGGUGCCAGCCGCCGCGGUAAUACCGGCGGCUCGAGUGGUGGCCACUAUUACUGGGCUUAAAGCGUUCGUAGCUGGUUUGUUAAGUCUCUGGGGAAAUCUUCCGGCUUAACCGGAAGGCGUCUCAGGGAUACUGGCAGACUAGGGACCGGGAGAGGUGAGAGGUACUCCAGGGGUAGGAGUGAAAUCCUGUAAUCCUUGGGGGACCACCUGUGGCGAAGGCGUCUCACCAGAACGGCUCCGACAGUGAGGGACGAAAGCUGGGGGAGCAAACCGGAUUAGAUACCCGGGUAGUCCCAGCUGUAAACGAUGCGCGUUAGGUGUAUCAGUGACCACGAGUCACUGAGGUGCCGAAGAGAAAUCGUGAAACGUGCCGCCUGGGAAGUACGGUCGCAAGGCUGAAACUUAAAGGAAUUGGCGGGGGAGCAC
rnacentral:rRNA from 1 species